rnacentral:misc_RNA from 1 species
GUUGAAGCAGUGAAUCUCCGGCCACAAACUAACCCGCCUAUGUCUUUUACUUCCAUUGGGAAUAUCUAUUGGUGGGCAACAGCAGUUGCUCACCCUACAGCCACAAACAUAGAGUUGCAUGAACUCAUAAAGCUAUUGAGUGAAGGUACUGCACUGUAUAGGGGUGAUUUCACGCAGACUCUACAAGGUGAAGGUGGCCAUGAAACCAUGUCAGAGCACUGUGACCAGCUAGAAGAGUUAUUUUCCUUGGAAAGCCCAGAUAUAUUCGCAUUUACGAGUUGGUGUUAUCUUGGUUUCACUAAGACUAACUUUGGAUGGGGAGAGCCCUAUUGGUUUGCUUUCUUGGGGAAAGUUAGUCCUGCAUUUAGAAACUUUACCAUGUUCAUUGAAACGAAAGAUGGUAAAGGGAUCGAGGCAUGGAUCACCUUAGACCAGCAAAGAAUGGCUAUACUAGAAAAUGAUCCUGAAUUCCUGGCUUUUGCUUCUCCAAAUCCCAGGAUUUCAUCAUCAAGCCUGUAACCUCUGUCUUUCGAGCCCAUCAUCUCAUUAAUUUACUCCAUAGCUGUAUAAGAUUUUGUGGUUUUCAAGCCUAUCAAUGAAGCAAGCAGAUAUAGCAACUCUAGUUAUGGUAUUGGUUUAUCUUUCUUCUUCGUGUUAUAAUAUCCGGUUUGGGUUUUGCAAUAAUUGUGUUUGUAUUAUU